GACGAACGCUGGCGGCGUGCCUAAUACAUGCAAGUAGAACGCUGAAGGAGGAGCUUGCUUCUCUGGAUGAGUUGCGAACGGGUGAGUAACGCGUAGGUAACCUGCCUGGUAGCGGGGGAUAACUAUUGGAAACGAUAGCUAAUACCGCAUAAGAGUAGAUGUCGCAUGACAUUUGCUUAAAAGGUGCAAUUGCAUCACUACCAGAUGGACCUGCGUUGUAUUAGCUAGUUGGUGAGGUAACGGCUCACCAAGGCAACGAUACAUAGCCGACCUGAGAGGGUGAUCGGCCACACUGGGACUGAGACACGGCCCAGACUCCUACGGGAGGCAGCAGUAGGGAAUCUUCGGCAAUGGACGGAAGUCUGACCGAGCAACGCCGCGUGAGUGAAGAAGGUGUUCGGAUCGUAAAGCUCUGUUGUAAGAGAAGAACGAGUGUGAGAGUGGAAAGUUCACACUGUGACGGUAUCGUACCAGAAAGGGACGGCUAACUACGU
rnacentral:rRNA from 1 species